AGGUGGCAAGCGUUGUCCGGAUGUAUUGGGCGUAAAGCGAGCGCAGGCGGUUUCUUAAGUCUGAUGUGAAAGCCCCCGGCUCAACCGGGGAGGGUCAUUGGAAACUGGGAGACUUGAGUGCAGAAGAGGAGAGUGGAAUUCCAUGUGUAGCGGUGAAAUGCGUAGAUAUAUGGAGGAACACCAGUGGCGAAGGCGGCUCUCUGGUCUGUAACUGACGCUGAGGCUCGAAAGCGUGGGGAGCAAAC
rnacentral:rRNA from 1 species